GCCAGACUCCUACGGGAGGCAGCAGUGGGGAAUAUUGGGCAAUGGGCGCAAGCCUGACCCAGCAACGCCGCGUGAAGGAAGAAGGCUUUCGGGUUGUAAACUUCUUUUAAGAGGGAAGAGCAGAAGACGGUACCUCUUGAAUAAGCCACGGCUAACUACGUGCCAGCAGCCGCGGUAAUACGUAGGUGGCAAGCGUUGUCCGGAUUUACUGGGUGUAAAGGGCGUGCAGCCGGGAGUGCAAGUCAGAUGUGAAAUCCCGCGGCUCAACCGCGGAACUGCAUUUGAAACUGUGCUUCUUGAGUGCUGGAGAGGCAGACGGAAUUCCUAGUGUAGCGGUGAAAUGCGUAGAUAUUAGGAGGAACACCAGUGGCGAAGGCGGCUUACUGGACUGUAACUGGCGUUGAGUCUCGAAAGCGUGGGGAGCAAACAGGAUUAGAUACCCCGGUA
rnacentral:rRNA from 1 species